rnacentral:rRNA from 1 species
GACGAACGCUGGCGGCGUGCUUAACACAUGCAAGUCGAGCGGAGCGGCGAACGGGCGAGUAACGCGUGAGUAACUGCCCCCCUUUCUGGGAUAACAGUUGGAAACGGGUGCUAAUACCGGAUAGUGGGGGAUGAAUGGGGUCCUAUCAGCUUGUUGGUGGGGUAGUGGCCUACCAAGGCGACGACGGGUACCCGGCCUGGAAGGGCGACCGGGCACAUGGGGCUGAGGUACGGCCCAAACUCGUACGGGGGGCAGCAGGGGGGAAUAUUGCACAAUGGGGGAAACCCUGAUGCAGCAACGCGCGUGCGGGAUGACGGCCUUCGGGUUGUAAACCGCUUUCAGCCAUGACGCGGUAGUGGCAGAAGAAGCACCGGCUAACUACGUGCCAGCAGCCGCGGUAAUAC